rnacentral:rRNA from 1 species
GAUGAACGCUAGCGGCAGGCUUAAUACAUGCAAGUCGAGGGACAGCACAGGUAGCAAUACUGGGUGGUAACCGGCAAACGGGUGCGGAACACGUACACAACCUUCCUUUAAGUGGGGGAUAGCCCAGAGAAAUUUGGAUUAAUACCCCGUAAUAUAGUUGAAUGGCAUCAUUUGAUUAUUAUAGCUACGGCGCUUAAUGAUGGGUGUGCGGCUGAUUAGAUAGUUGGCGGGGUAACGGCCCUCCAAGUCUACGAUCAGUAGCUGAUGUGAGAGCAUGAUCAGCCACACGGGCACUGAGACACGGGCCCGACUCCUACGGGAGGCAGCAGUAAGGAAUAUUGGUCAAUGGACGCAAGUCUGAACCAGCCAUGCCGCGUGAAGGAUUAAGGUCCUCUGGAUUGUAAGCUUCUUUUAUUUGGGACGAAAAAGGGCCUUUCUAGGUCAACUGACGGUACCAGAUGAAUAAGCACCGGCUAACUCCGUGCCAGCCGCCGCAGUAAGAC